UAAUACGAAGGUGGCAAGCGUUGUUCGGAUUCACUGGGCGUACAGGGAGCGUAGGCGGUUGGGUAAGCCCUCCGUGAAAUCUCCGGGCCUAACCCGGAAAGUGCAGAGGGGACUGCUCGGCUAGAGGAUGGGAGAGGAGCGCGGAAUUCCCGGUGUAGCGGUGAAAUGCGUAGAGAUCGGGAGGAAGGCCGGUGGCGAAGGCGGCGCUCUGGAACAUUUCUGACGCUGAGGCUCGAAAGCGUGGGGAGCAAACAGGAUUAGAUACCCUGGUAGUCCACGCCUUAAACUAUGGAUACUAAGUGUCGGCGGUUUACCGCCGGUGCCGCAGCUAACGCAGUAAGUAUCCCGCCUGGGAAGUACGGCCGCAAGGUUGAAACUCAAAUGAAUUGACGG
rnacentral:rRNA from 1 species